GGGCAAGGAGUCUAGUGGGUAGGGAGUUUGGCUCCCAGCCAAAAGGUUCUGGGUUCGAACCCCAGAUGUCCG